rnacentral:rRNA from 1 species
AAAUUGAAGAGUUUGAUCAUGGCUCAGAUUGAACGCUGGCGGCAGGCCUAACACAUGCAAGUCGAGCGGAAACGACACUAACAAUCCUUCGGGUGCGUUAAUGGGCGUCGAGCGGCGGACGGGUGAGUAAUGCCUAGGAAAUUGCCUUGAUGUGGGGGAUAACCAUUGGAAACGAUGGCUAAUACCGCAUAAUGCCUACGGGCCAAAGAGGGGGACCUUCGGGCCUCUCGCGUCAAGAUAUGCCUAGGUGGGAUU